CCUACGGGAGGCAGCAGUGAGGAAUAUUGGUCAAUGGACGCAAGGCUGAACCAGCCAUGCCGCGUGCAGGAAGACGGCUCUAUGAGUUGUAAACUGCUUUUGUACGAGGGUAAACACAGAUACGUGUAUCUGUCUGAAAGUAUCGUACGAAUAAGGAUCGGCUAACUCCGUGCCAGCAGCCGCGGUAAUACGGAGGAUUCAAGCGUUAUCCGGAUUUAUUGGGUUUAAAGGGUGCGUAGGCGGGCGGGUAAGUUAGAGGUGAAAUCCCGAGGCUCAACUUCGGAAUUGCCUCUGAUACUGUUCGGCUAGAGCGUAGUUGCGGUAGGCGGAAUGUAUGGUGUAGCGGUGAAAUGCUUAGAGAUCAUACAGAACACCGAUUGCGAAGGCAGCUUACCAAGCUACUUCUGACGUUGAGGCACGAAAGCGUGGGGAGCAAACAGGAUUAGAUACCCUUGUAGUC
rnacentral:rRNA from 1 species